rnacentral:rRNA from 1 species
CGCACGGGUGCGUAACGCGUGGGAAUCUGCCCCUUGGUUCGGAAUAACAGCGAGAAAUUGCUGCUAAUACCGGAUAAUGACGUAAGUCCAAAGAUUUAUCGCCUAGGGAUGAGCCCGCGUAGGAUUAGCUAGUUGGUGUGGUAAAGGCGCACCAAGGCGACGAUCCUUAGCUGGUCUGAGAGGAUGAUCAGCCACACUGGGACUGAGACACGGCCCAG